GAUGAGAACGUAGCGAAAUGCGAUAAGUAAUGUGAAUUGCAGAAUUCAGUGAAUCAUCGAAUCUUUGAACGCACAUUGCGCCCGCCAGUAUUCUGGCGGGCAUGCCUGUCCGAGCGUCAUUUCAACCCUCGAACCCCUCCGGGGGGUCGGCGUUGGGGAUCGGCCCUUUACGGGGCCGGCCCCGAAAUACAGUGGCGGUCUCGCCGCAGCCUCUCCUGCGCAGUAGUUUGCACACUCGCAUCGGGAGCGCGGCGCGUCCACAGCCGUUAAACACCCCAAACUUCUGAAAUGUUGACCUCGGAUCAGGUAGGAAUACCCGCUGAACUUAAGCAUAUCAAUAAGCGGAGGA
rnacentral:misc_RNA from 1 species